GAGUUGGGCCCUUUGGGGGACAGCAGCCUGGUGUCCCACUGGGUUACCCCAUCAAAGCGCCAAAGCUGCCAGGUGGCUAUGGACUGCCCUAUACCAACGGGAAGUUGCCCUAUGGAGUGGCUGGUGCAGGGGGCAAAGCUGGCUACCCAACAGGAACAGG